rnacentral:rRNA from 1 species
GACGAACGCUGGCGGCGUGCUUAACACAUGCAAGUCGAACGGAAAGGCCCUGCUUUUGUGGGGUGCUCGAGUGGCGAACGGGUGUGUAACACGUGAGGAACAUGCACUUGACUGUGGGAUAACUUCAGGAAACUGGGGCGAAUACCGGAUAGGAGCUCCUGAUGCAUGGGGGGGGUUGGAGAGUUUCGGCGGUGGGGGAUGGACUCGCGGCUUACCAGCUUGUUGGUGGGGUAGUGGCUUACCAAGGCUGUGACGGGUAGCCGGCCUGAGAGGGUGACCGGCCACAUUGGGACUGAGAUACGGCCCAGACUCCUACGGGAGGCAGUAGUGGGGAAUAUUGCACAGUGAGCGGAAGCCUGUUGCAGCAGCGCCGCGUGCGGGAUGACGUCCUUCGGGUUGUAAACCGCUUUCGCCUGUGACGAAGCGUGAGUGACGGUAAUGGGUAAAGAAGCACCGGCUAACUACGUG